CUUUCACACACUUUAGGAAAAACACACCCCCGGAUUCCGGUCAGCAUAAUACCUCACAAGGCGGUUUGCUGGAAGCUGUUCCCGCAUCUGAAAAAACAUCGACUUUUAGCAGAUUCCAUGGCUCCUCUCUCACCAUGCCAGUCAUCAUGUAUAAUGGAUCAGAAGAAGAGCUGAUGGACACUAUUGAGAAAGAGUUUAGUUGACCCCCAAGUUGCUCCAGAGCUGCUGUCCUUUUCAGCUUCAUGAGAUGCAGCAGUUUGCAGGGGGGGG